GGCAGGCUUAACACAUGCAAGUCGAGCGGGCAUAGCAAUGUCAGCGGCAGACGGGUGAGUAACGCGUGGGAACGUACCUUUUGGUUCGGAACAACACAGGGAAACUUGUGCUAAUACCGGAUAAGCCUUACGGGGAAAGAUUUAUCGCCGAAAGAUCGGCCCGCGUCUGAUUAGCUAGUUGGUGAGGUAAUGGCUCACCAAGGCGACGAUCAGUAGCUGGUCUGAGAGGAUGAUCAGCCACAUUGGGACUGAGACACGGCCCAAACUCCUACGGGAGGCAGCAGUGGGGAAUAUUGGACAAUGGGCGCAAGCCUGAUCCAGCCAUGCCGCGUGAGUGAUGAAGGCCCUAGGGUUGUAAAGCUCUUUUGUGCGGGAAGAUA
rnacentral:rRNA from 1 species